UACGUAGGUGGCAAGCGUUGUCCGGAAUUAUUGGGCGUAAAGCGCGCGCAGGCGGUCCUUUAAGUCUGAUGUGAAAGCCCACGGCUCAACCGUGGAGGGUCAUUGGAAACUGGGGGACUUGAGUGCAGAAGAGGAAAGCGGAAUUCCACGUGUAGCGGUGAAAUGCGUAGAUAUCUGGAGGAACACCGGUGGCGAAGGCGGCAUCCUGGACCGACACUGACGCUGAGGCGCGAAAGCUAGGGGAGCAAACAGG
rnacentral:rRNA from 1 species